rnacentral:rRNA from 1 species
GAUGAACGCUGACAGAAUGCUUAACACAUGCAAGUCGAACGGAGUUACAUUGAAAGCUUGCUGGAUAUGUAACUUAGUGGCGGACGGGUGAGUAACACGUGAGUAAUCUGCCUUCCAGAGGGGAAUAACGUUUGGAAACGAACGCUAAUACCGCAUAACGUGCGGUCCUCACAUGGGGACUGUACCAAAGAUUUUAUCGCUGGAAGAUGAGCUCGCGGCCGAUUAGGUAGUUGGUGAGAUAACAGCCCACCAAGCCGACGAUCGGUAGCCGGACUGAGAGGUUGAUCGGCCACAUUGGGACUGAGACACGGCCCAG